AACGACUAAGAUGCAGAGGCAGGCAGACUGAAAGAGGAAAACUUUUUGGCGACAAAAAACAAAAUGCACAAAGGAUUUAGCAAAUUUUGCAAAUUAUUGAGAGGCUACAAAUGUGAAGACUAAAGCCAUUGAAAAAAGGAAAUUAGUAAGGGAGAAUUAACACUGUAAUAUUAAGCAGAACGUAAUUUUUUACUGCAGGUAAUGAACGGUUUCUAC